rnacentral:rRNA from 1 species
UAUCUCUGUAGAGUCUGCAUAUCAAUAAGCGGAGGAAAAGAAACUAACUAGGAUUCCCCUAGUAACGGCGAGUGAAGCGGGAAGAGCUCAAAUUUGAAAUCUUAAAGGGUUUCCCUUUACGAAUUGUAGUUUAAAGAAGUGUUUUCUGUUGAGGUUUUGGUAAAAGUUCUUUGGAAUAGGACGUCAUAGAGGGUGAGAAUCCCGUAUUUGACCUUUACUUUCAACUUUGUGAUACACUUUCAAAGAGUCGGAUUGUUUGGGAAUGCAGUCCAAAAUGGGUGGUAAAUUUCAUCUAAAGCCAAAUAUUGGCGAGAGACCGAUAGCGAACAAGUACCGUGAGGGAAAGAUGAAAAGAACUUUGAAAAGAGAGUUAAACAGUACGUGAAAUUGUCAAAAGGGAAGCGUUUGACACCAGUGUUGUUUUUCUGAAAAUCAAUUAAAGAACUGUUUAUGCUAAGUUGUUUAGACUUUAUCAGCUAUCUGUUUAGUUUUGAGCUUUUCUUUAAUGCACUUUUCAGUUAACAAGUCAACAUCAAUUUCUUUUGCUGUAAAAAAGCUUGAGGAAGGUGGCUUGAGAUUCGUCUUAAGUGUUUAUAGCCUCUUGCCUAUGCAGUCGGAGAGAUUGAGGUCUGCAGCGUAGAUCCUUCGGGGCUAAAUGCAUUUGUGCUAAGUUAUAGCAUUUUAUAGACAACUUGUUGACUAUGAUUUGUCUUGUAGCUUACUCGCAUAUGUUAUUUUACCUACGCUUAGGAUGUUGACGAUCAGCUGAGCGCG